CAUGGCAGGACAUAAAUAGCGGACGGACCGUCUCCUCGUUCACUUCCUUCUCUCUCCUGUUCAAGAUGGGGAAGAAAGAUCCACAGACUGCUUGCUUGCUGCAAAGGUGUGAGAAGACUGGCGAGCCUUUCCUCAUCAGAGUUUCAAGGCCAUACAAGAAUGAAGGCUCUUUCUUUUAAGUUCGCAUUUCAAAUCGGCUGCAAGUGCACUGAGGUCCGAGUUUCUCAAGAUGCUUUGGGCAAGGACUACGCAUUAACAUCUCGACAUAUGAAUUGACUGAAGGCCUAAAGCUGUGCUGCUGAGUUCAAAGAUGCCUCUCUGGAUCAUGAUGCUCACUGCUCAACAACAAAGGGGUUUGCCCAGGUUAACAUCAAUGCUGAACUGGGAACCCAAGUCAUGAGGAUGGCCAACGCUGAUGUGUGACGCCGUCUGACUGUAGUGGUGUGUGUGGGGAACAAGUGCAGGACUGCUGCAGACUCCAGCUGCGUCUGCUGCUUCAGGUUUAAGAUGGGGAAGAACGAUCCACAGACUGCUUGCUGCAAAGAUUGGCCUGCGCUCUUCUAAUCGGCUGCAAGUGCACUGAGAUGCUUUGGGCAAGGACAACACAGGAAUAUUUCAACAUUGCCUCGUACCAGUGGAUGUGUGAAGCUGAGAAAAGCUGAACGAUGAAUUGACUGAAGGAAUCUUUUGUGAAGCUGAGGACAUGCUGAGAAAAUGUUUAGGAUGAAUUGACUGAAGGCCUAAAGCUGUGCUGCUGAGUUCAAAGAUGCCUCUCUGGAACAUGAUGCUCACUGCUCUAAAGGUCAGCAUCAAUGCUGAACUGGGAACCCUAGUUAUCAGGAUGGCCCAAGCGAAUGUGUGACACCAUCUGAUGCAAUCUGACUCGUGGAUCAGCACCGCUGCAGGACUGCUGCAGGUGUGACGCCGUCUGACUGUAGUCGUGUGUGUGGGGAACAGGUGCAGGACUGCUGCAGAUGGGGAAGAACGAUCCAGACUGCUUGCUGCAAAGAUUGGCCUGCGCUCUUCUAAUCGGCUGCAAGUGCACUGAGAUGCUUUGGGCAAGGACAACACAGGAAUAUUUCAACAUUGCCUCGUACCAGUGGAUGUGUGAAGCUGAGAAAAGCUGAAUGAUGAAUUGACUGAAGGAAUCUUUUGUGAAGCUGAGGACAUGCUGAGAAAAUGUUUAGGAUGAAUUGACUGAAGGCCUAAAGCUGUGCUGCUGAGUUCAAAGAUGCCUCUCUGGAUCAUGAUGCUCACUGCUCUAAAGGUCAGCAUCAAUGCUGAACUGGGAACCCUAGUUAUCAGGAUGGCCCAAGCGAAUGUGUGACACCAUCUGAUGCAAUCUGACUCGUGGAUCAGCACCGCUGCAGGACUGCUGCAGGGCCUCUUACCAGUGGAUGUGUGAAUCUGAGGACAUGCUGAGAAAGGUUUUAGGCUGUGAUGCAAUCUGAUGCAAUCUGACUCGUGGAUCAGCACCGCUGCAGGACUGCUGCAGGUGUGACGCCGUCUGACUUUAGUGAUGUGUGAGAACAGCACGAUGCACGACUGCUGCAGAUGCUUUAGGGAAGAGCGACACAUGUACGGCUCAUGGACAUCUCAACAUGUAAGACUCAAUGACUCAAGAAAUCAUGUGUGAAGCUGUGGACAUGCUGAGAACAUUUUAAGGAUGAAUUGACUGAAGGCCUAAAGCUGUGCUGCUGAGUUCAAAGAUGCCUCUCUGGAACAUGAUGCUCACUUCUCAACAACAAAGGGGUUUGCCCAGAAACCGGUUGUCAUGAAGAGAGGUCCAAAGCCAUCUUGUUCUGCAACACAAUCCUGCAGUUUUCCAAGCUGUGGUACAGCCUUUCCUGGACAUGUUAUAGUUUGGAGUGCACAGUUAAAUCCUUACUUGUAUUUCCAGAUUGCUGGAAUUUGAUACCAAAUAAAUAAGUGUACGACAGCUCUUAACUGUGAUACUUUAUUAACACCCA